rnacentral:rRNA from 1 species
UACCAGCACCCCGAGUGGUCGGGACGUUUAUUGGGCCUAAAGCAUCCGUAGCCGGUUCUACAAGUCUUCCGUUAAAUCCACCUGCUUAACAGAUGGGCUGCGGAAGAUACUAUAGAGCUAGGAGGCGGGAGAGGCAAGCGGUACUCGAUGGGUGAGGGGUAAAAUCCGUUGAUCCAUUGAAGACCACCAGUGGCGAAGGCGGCUUGCCAGAAC